UACAGAGGAGCCAAGCGUUGUCCGGAUUGACUGGGCGUAAAGCGCACGCAGGCGGUCGCGCGCGUGGGGUGUGAAAUCUGGCCGCUUAACGGCCAGGCGCCAUCCCAUACGGCACGACUGGAGUGAUGCAGAGGUCGAUGGAAUUGCCGGUGUAGUGGUGAAAUGCGUAGAUAUCUGGAGGAAUACCGGUGGCGAAGGCGGCAUCCUGGACCGACAUUGACGCUGAACGGCGAAAGCUAGGGGAGCAAACGGG
rnacentral:rRNA from 1 species